rnacentral:rRNA from 1 species
UACGGAGGGUGCAAGCGUUGCUCGGAAUUAUUGGGCGUAAAGGGUAGGUAGGUGGUCUCAUUUGUCUGGGGUGAAAGCCUUGAGCUUAACUCAAGAAGUGCCCCAGAAACGGUGAGACUAGAGUCCUGGAGAGGGUCGUGGAAUUCCCGGUGUAGCGGUGAAAUGCGUAGAGAUCGGGAGGAACACCAGAGGCGAAGGCGGCGACCUGGACAGGUACUGACACUCAACUACGAAAGCGUGGGGAGCAAACAGG